GAACGAUGAAGCUUCUAGCUUGCUAGAAGUGGAUUAGUGGCGCACGGGUGAGUAAGGUAUAGUUAAUCUGCCCUACACAAGAGGACAACAGUUGGAAACGACUGCUAAUACUCUAUACUCCUGCUUAACACAAGUUGAGUAGGGAAAGUUUUUCGGUGUAGGAUGAGACUAUAUAGUAUCAGCUAGUUGGUAAGGUAAUGGCUUACCAAGGCUAUGACGCUUAACUGGUCUGAGAGGAUGAUCAGUCACACUGGAACUGAGACACGGUCCAGACUCCUACGGGAGGCAGCAGUAGGGAAUAUUGCGCAAUGGGGGAAACCCUGACGCAGCAACGCCGCGUGGAGGAUGACACUUUUCGGAGCGUAAACUCCUUUUCUUAGGGAAGAAUUCUGACGGUACCUAAGGAAUAAGCACCGGGCUAACUCCGUGCCAGCAGCCGCGGUAAUACGGAGGGUGCAAGCGUUACUCGGAAUCACUGGGCGUAAAGGGCGCGUAGGCGGAUUAUCAAGUCUCUUGUGAAAUCUAAUGGCUUAACCAUUAAACUGCUUGGGAAACUGAUAGUCUAGAGUGAGGGAGAGGCAGAUGGAAUUGGUGGUGUAGGGGGUAAAAUCCGUAGAUAUCACCAAGAAUACCCAUUGCGAAGGCGAUCUGCUGGAACUCAACUGACGCUAAGGCGCGAAAGCGUGGGGAGCAAACAGGAUUAGAUACCCUGGUAGUCCACGCCCUAAACGAUGUACACUAGUUGUUGGGGUGCUAGUCAUCUCAGUAAUGCAGCUAACGCAUUAAGUGUACCGCCUGGGGAGUACGGUCGCAAGAUUAAAACUCAAAGGAAUAGACGGGGACCCGCACAAGCGGUGGAGCAUGUGGUUUAAUUCGAAGAUACGCGAAGAACCUUACCUGGGCUUGAUAUCCUAAGAACCUUUUAGAGAUAAGAGGGUGCUAGCUUGCUAGAACUUAGAGACAGGUGCUGCACGGCUGUCGUCAGCUCGUGUCGUGAGAUGUUGGGUUAAGUCCCGCAACGAGCGCAACCCACGUAUUUAGUUGCUAACGGUUCGGCCGAGCACUCUAAAUAGACUGCCUUCGUAAGGAGGAGGAAGGUGUGGACGACGUCAAGUCAUCAUGGCCCUUAUGCCCAGGGCGACACACGUGCUACAAUGGCAUAUACAAUGAGACGCAAUACCGCGAGGUGGAGCAAAUCUAUAAAAUAUGUCCCAGUUCGGAUUGUUCUCUGCAACUCGAGAGCAUGAAGCCGGAAUCGCUAGUAAUCGUAGAUCAGCCAUGCUACGGUGAAUACGUUCCCGGGUCUUGUACUCACCGCCCGUCACACCAUGGGAGUUGAUUUCACUCGAAGCCGGAAUACUAAAC
rnacentral:rRNA from 1 species